GAAUCAUCAAGUGUUUUACUCGAAAACCGAAUAGAAAAUCAGAAAUGAUACCGUUUUAGUUCCAAUUUAAAAACUGAAAAGAAAUUAUGUACAAAUUAUAUUUUUCAGAUCCACUGUAAAGAAGUUUCUCUUCAGAAAAAUUAUAAAAGUGGGAAGAGGUUAAGGAGCAUGUACGAACAUUUUUUUAUGCUUGAGUUUAUUACACACAUGUUAUUUUUGUAAAUUAAUUUACAAAGCUAUAUAAUACACAUUUAUUAAAUAAUUAGAUAAAGAUAUAAGCAACUACAUAUU